GACGAACGCUGGCGGCGUGGAUUAGGCAUGCAAGUCGAACGGUAUCAUCCUUUCGGGGGUGAGAGAGUGGCGAACUGGUGAGUAACACGUAGGUUAUCUACCCUCAAGACGGGGACAACCCAGGGAAACUUGGGCUAAUACCGGAUGUGAGCAACUUUUAGUUGUUUGAAAGGUGGCGUAAGCUGUCGCUUGGGGAUGAGCCUGCGUCCUAUUAGUUAGUUGGUGAGGUAACGGCUCACCUAGGCAAUGAUAGGUAGGCGGCCUUAACGGGUGGUCGCCCACACUGGGAUUGAGAUACGGCCCAGACUCCUACGGGAGGCAGCAGUCGAGAAUAGUCUACAAUGGUCGGAAGACUGAUAGUGCGACGCCGCGUGAACGAUGAAUCCCUUCGGGGUGUAAAGUUCUUUUAUAUGUGAGCAGUGCUUCUUAUAUUAACAGUAUGGGGAGAGAGAUAUUAGCAAUAUGAAUAAGCAACGGCUAACUCCGUGCCAGCAGCCGCGGUAAGCU
rnacentral:rRNA from 1 species